rnacentral:rRNA from 1 species
AGAGUUUGAUCCUGGCUCAGGAUGAACGCUGGCGGCGUGCUUAACACAUGCAAGUCGAACGAAGCACUUUAUUUGAUUUCCUUCGGGACUGAUUAUUUUGUGACUGAGUGGCGGACGGGUGAGUAACGCGUGGGUAACCUGCCUUGUACAGGGGGAUAACAGUUGGAAACGGCUGCUAAUACCGCAUAAGCGCACAGCAUCGCAUGGUGCAGUGUGAAAAACUCCGGUGGUAUAAGAUGGACCCGCGUUGGAUUAGCUAGUUGGUGAGGUAACGGCCCACCAAGGCGACGAUCCAUAGCCGACCUGAGAGGGUGACCGGCCACAUUGGGACUGAGACACGGCCCAAACUCCUACGGGAGGCAGCAGUGGGGAAUAUUGCACAAUGGGCGAAAGCCUGAUGCAGCGACGCCGCGUGAGCGAAGAAGUAUUUCGGUAUGUAAAGCUCUAUCAGCAGG